rnacentral:sRNA from 1 species
GCGGAGGAAAAGAAAGCAACAGCGAUAGCCUCAGUAACGGCGAGUGAAGCGGCUACAGCUCAAAUUUGAAAUCUGGCCCCCUUUGGAGGUCCGAGUUGUAAUUUGCAGAGGAUGCUUUGGCAUUGGCGGCGGUCUAAGUUCCUUGGAACAGGACAUCGCAGAGGGUGAGAAUCCCGUACGUGGGCGCCUGCCUUUGCCGUGUAAAGCUCCUUCGACGAGUCGAGUUGUUUGGGAAUGCAGCUCUAAAUGGGAGGUAAAUUUCUCCUAAAGCUAAAUACCGGCCAGAGACCGAUAGCGCACAAGUAGAGUGAUCGAAAGAUGAAAAGUACUUUGGAAAGAGAGUCAAAUAGCACGUGAAAUUGUUGAAAGGGAAGCGCUUGCAGCCAGACUUGCCCGCAGUUGCUCACCCAGGCUCUUGCCUGGGGCACUCUUCUGCGGGCAGGCCAGCAUCAGUUUGGGCGGUCGGAUAAAGGUCUCUGUCAUGUACCACCCCUCGGGGUGGCCUUAUAGGGGAGACGCAAUGCGACCAGCCCGGACUGAGGUCCGCGCAUCUGCUAGGAUGCUGGCGUAAUGGCUGUAAGCGGCCCGUCUUGAAACACGGACCAAGGAGUCUAACAUCUAUGCGAGUGUUUGGGUGUCAAGCCCGGGCGCGUAAUGAAAGUGAACGGAGGUGGGAACCUUUCGGGGUGCACCAUCGACCGAUCCUGAUGUCUUCGGAUGGAUUUGAGUAAGAGCAUAGCUGUUGGGACCCGAAAGAUGGUGAACUAUGCUUGAAUAGGGUGAAGCCAGAGGAAACUCUGGUGGAGGCUCGCAGCGGUUCUGACGUGCAAAUCGAUCGUCAAAUUUGGGCAUAGGGGCGAAAGACUAAUCGAACCAUCUAGUAGCUGGUUCCUGCCGAAGUUUCCCUCAGGAUAGCAGUAACGUUUUCAGUUUUAUGAGGUAAAGCGAAUGAUUA